rnacentral:lncRNA from 1 species
CUGCCUGUCAGCCUGGAUAGAACUUAAAACAAGCUCUCAGUCCUGGUAACAUAUAAAACCGACCGAGUUAUCUGGUUGAAAUGUGUUCUGUCUUGCAUCAACAGCUCAGAAUUCAAUGUAACAGAAAAAAUGCUACUGAAUUUUCUUCCUGUAUACAAAGCACACACUUUCCUUACAGUCUACCUGCCUUUCAGUUCUGAAUUACAAGUUUACAGCCACAGACAGUUGCAAACUUGCAACAAAACUCAGAAUAGAUUGGUUUUUACAUCAUGAGUGCCAGUCUAGGCUCUUUGAUCAAAUAAUGUCCUUCAGUGCAGUCCAUACAUACAAUAUUUGAAUACAAUUUAGUUUUACGCACUUACAGUGACAACUCUUUGUCCUAAAAAACUGCAGUUAACAACUCUUAGUACUAUAGCCAGCGAAAAAUAUGCUGCCCUUCUUUUUCAAAUCUCUUGCUGACGUUCAGUCUUAAUAUGCAUCCUCAAUAGCACUCAGUGACAACCUGCAUGGUCUGGAUAACCUUUCUUGUUUUUUCAUAGUUAAAAAUAUAAUGGCAAUACAAACCAAGAAUCAUCUCUCCAUCUCGCUGCAAUUUGUUUUCUUCAUUCCUGCAAUCAUCUCAGGUAAAAUAGCUAGGACAACUCUUACAACACAAAGCAUGUAGAAACUUGAAAACACGAUUCACUUUCUCCAGCCAAAAUUGGUUGUUUUGAAAAUAUAGGUUUGAAUGAUGCAAUAGAUGUCAUUGGCACAAUAACAUGCAUAAUUCUUACUCUGUGACUUGAUUAUGCAAAUUACAUUGAUGGUGCUGUAUCGGUCUCCCACAAACAAUUUUUGAUGCAGUGCUUUCAAAGUUUCAACCAGAAGAACACACAAACAAGAAUUCAGUUGAGACAGAAACUAUUGAAAUUG